rnacentral:rRNA from 1 species
GACGAACGCUGGCGGCGCGCUUAACACAUGCAAGUCGAACGGAAAGGCCUGCUUUCCCUUGUGUAUUGCGGGUACUCGAGUGGCUAACGGGUGAGUAACACGUGAGUGAUCUGCCCCCAACUUGGGUAUAAGCCUGGGAAACUGGGUCUAAUUCCCGAUAGGACUGCAGGGUGGUGCCUGUGGUGGAAAACGAUUUUCUAGUGGUUGGGGAUGAGCUCGCGGCCUAUCAGCUUGUUGGUGGGGUAAUGGCCUACCAAGGCGGCGACGGGUAGCCGGCCUGAGAGGGUGGGCGGGCACAUUGGGAAUGAGGUACGGCCUAGACUCCGACGGGAGGAAGGAGUGGGGAAUAGUGCGCAAUGUGGGGGGGGGUGAUGCAGCGGCGGCGGGUGGGGGCUGCCGGCCGUAGGAUUGUAAGCUCCUUUCGACCGCGAGGAAGCCAGCCGGUUGGAAGGGUGGUGAUGGUAGCGGUAGAAGAAGCACCGGCUAUCUACG